rnacentral:rRNA from 1 species
AUUGAACGCUGGCGGCAUGCUUUACACAUGCAAGUCGAACGGCAGCACGGGUGCUUGCACCUGGUGGCGAGUGGCGAACGGGUGAGUAAUGCAUCGGAACGUGCCUAUUAGUGGGGGAUAACGCUUCGAAAGGAGUGCUAAUACCGCAUAAUCUCUGAGGAGGAAAGCGGGGGACCUUCGGGCCUCGCGUUGUCAGAUGAGCCCACGUCCGAUUAGCUAGUUGGUGGGGUAAUGGCCUACCAAGGCGACGAUCGGUAGCUGGUCUGAGAGGACGACCAGCCACACUGGGACUGAGACACGGCCCAGACUCCUGCGGGAGGGCAGCAGUGGGGAAUUUUUGGACAAUGGGCGAAAGCCUGAUCCAGCGAUGCCGCGUGGGUGAAGAAGGCCUGCGGGUUGUAAAGCCCUUUCGAUGGGAAAGAAAAGACCUGGAGCUAAUACCUCCGGGUCUUGACGUUACCCAGAGAAGAAGCACCGGCUAACUCCGUGCCAGCAGCCG